UACGGAGGGUGCAAGCGUUAUCCGGAUUUACUGGGUUUAAAGGGUGUGUAGGCGGGCUAUUAAGUCAGUGGUGAAAUCUCCGGGCUCAACCUGGAAACUGCCAUUGAUACUAUUAGUCUUGAAUUCUGUUGAGGUGGGCGGAAUAUGUCAUGUAGCGGUGAAAUGCAUAGAUAUGACAUAGAACACCAAUUGCGAAGGCAGCUCACUAUGGUUUUAUUGACACUGAGGCACGAAAGCGUGGGGAUCAAACAGG
rnacentral:rRNA from 1 species